UAUGGUAAUCCAGCCGCCGCGGUAAUACGUAGGGGGCAAGCGUUAUCCGGAAUUACUGGGUGUAAAGGGUGCGUAGGUGGUAUGGCAAGUCAGAAGUGAAAACCCAGGGCUUAACUCUGGGACUGCUUUUGAAACUGUCAGACUGGAGUGCAGGAGAGGUAAGCGGAAUUCCUAGUGUAGCGGUGAAAUGCGUAGAUAUUAGGAGGAACAUCAGUGGCGAAGGCGGCUUACUGGACUGAAACUGACACUGAGGCACGAAAGCGUGGGGAGCAAACAGG
rnacentral:rRNA from 1 species